rnacentral:rRNA from 1 species
AUUGAACGCUGGCGGCAGGCCUAACACAUGCAAGUCGAGCGGAUGAAGGGAGCUUGCUCCUGGAUUCAGCGGCGGACGGGUGAGUAAUGCCUAGGAAUCUGCCUGGUAGUGGGGGAUAACGUCCGGAAACGGGCGCUAAUACCGCAUACGUCCGAGGGAGAAAGUGGGGGAUCUUCGGACCUCACGCUAUCAGAUGAGCCUAGGUCGGAUUAGCUAGUUGGUGGGGUAAAGGCCUACCAAGGCGACGAUCCGUAACUGGUCUGAGAGGAUGAUCAGUCACACUGGAACUGAGACACGGUCCAGACUCCUACGGGAGGCAGCAGUGGGGAAUAUUGGACAAUGGGCGAAAGCCUGAUCCAGCCAUGCCGCGUGUGUGAAGAAGGUCUUCGGAUUGUAAAGCACUUUAAGUUGGGAGGAAGGGCAGUAAGUUAAUACCUUGCUGUUUUGACGUUACCAACAGAAUAAGCACCGGCUAACUUCGUG